UUUCUAAUAAAUACAGAAAUUAAUAAAAUAUAAAUUGAAGUAAAAAAGAUCUUAGGGCCGAAAGGCAUUAGUAGUUAGUGUUAUAGUUUAACUUAGAUUGUCCGUACGGGACCAUUAAGUUAGUUGUAAGUUAUGGAAAAUUAGGCUAGCUUUAAGAUAGGUUUAAGAAUGAACUAAAAAGUUAAAAAAAACAAAAAAAAGCUUUGGUUCCCAUCGAUCACCGAAAACAGAUUACGGGACCAUCUCGAAACCUACCGCGUGCUGUUGUCAUGUGUUCUUUCUAUCUGUUCUUUCUCUUCUGUCCUUGUCUUGUAUUAAUGUCUUGUGUUGUUAUCACCUUACUUAGUCUAGUCAGAGAGAAAAAACUAGUUUAGUUUUUUUUUCUCUGACUUAAAGUGCCUGUUCCUGCACUACCUUUAGCUUCUUUCGUAUGAUAUUAGGGUCAGAGAUGGUGAAACGAAACCCAGGUCAACAUGUGUGAACGUUUUAUGUGUUGAAAAAUGUGUCGGGCAACCGUCAUUUAAUGUCACAGGACUGAAAUUCUAUUGGACUUUUAAAUAUGGUUUGUUGGGGCUUUGGGGCUUUAUUUUUGACAAACAUAAAACAGAAAAUUAAAGUAAAAAUGACAAUUUUUUCCUUACUUUAGAACAAUCUUCAACAGGAACAUGGAAACUGAUGAUACAUGUAAAUAUUACAUCAAUACCAAAGUAAAUCGCCUAACAUUUUUAUAAUUUUUAGUGACAACGAAAUUUAACGUUUCUUUUCGCCAAUUUAUACCACAACCUAUUACCUCAACCCACAUCGAAGAGAAUGUGUGUCCUGAAGUGUCUUGACUAUCAUUCUCUUCAUAGAUGCCCGCAGGACGAUGCAAAUUUUUGUGUUUCGCUGCUCAUUUUUUUCCCUUGGUAGACGGUACAGGAUAGUAAAUAAGUCCUAGUAAUAGUUGCAUUAAGUCUUUUAUUAUUUCACUUAAGCAUAGUUUAAUAGUUUUAAUACAAAAAAUCAAUGUAAAAUAAUUUAAGAAAUUAAUAAAAUAAUAAGGCGGAGCAGAGCUCCUUCGGUUCAGUAGGGCUGUGUCCGAACGGGACCGAACUGAUAGGGUGAAUCAGGAGAACCAGUUUUGGUGGCUUCAAUCGGCACUUGAUAGUGGAUAGUCGGGAUGGGGUUUUAAGCCUUGGCCGGAUUACAUACUUGUUUUAUAGUUUUAGAUUUAAGUUUUAAGUAGAAUAGGCAUGGUGGCGCAAAAAGAAA